rnacentral:rRNA from 1 species
AGUACCGAAGCUUCUGAUGUCACACUGCCAAGAAAAGCUUCUAGUGAGAAAACAAUGGCCCGUACCGCAAACCGACACAGGUAGUCGAGGAGAGCAUCCUAAGGUGAGCGAGAGGACUCUCGUUAAGGAACUCGGCAAAAUGACCCCGUAACUUCGGGAGAAGGGGUGCUGCUCUAACGAGCAGCCGCAGUGAAUAGGCCCAAGCGACUGUUUAUCAAAAACACAGGUC